UGUGAACAUGCUGUGGGCUGGGAGCUGGACUUCCUGCAGUAUAUUCCUUCCUGAAAGGGCUGAAGUCUUUCUGUUCUGCAAGCAGAAGGUGGAGCCUUUCAGCAAACAGAAGAAAAUAGUUGUCUGCCUCCUUCAAACAAGCCAGUUUUGCUCUUUCUGCUCUGUCCAUAGAUAUAAAACAGCUGUUGAUGUCAGUAAUUCAGAGUGGAGUUGGCAUGCUGCGUUUCUCUUGUCAGCUGGAAUGAUGAUUGAACAUAACUGGCCACUUCAAAUUAAGGUCAGAUCUCUGGAUGCUCAGUGCAGCAGCGUGAUCUUCAGGACCAGGGUCUGCAGCCAUUGGAGCUAGUUUAUAUACACACUGGAGAACUUACUGGAGACAACUGGAAAGUUCACUCUGAGGAGCCCCAACGCUGGUAAUCAGUAACUAAAAUGUAUUCAUGGAGCCUGGAGACUAAAAGGCAUGAAUGUAAGUGCUUUCAUAUAUUUUCCAUGUUUGGCACAGAGGUGCUGUGUUUUUCAUGUAAGCAGAGCCCCUUGGAGUGGAGGAUGUCCCAGAGAGGUGAUUAAGGGGCACUGAUGUGUGUGGAUUGAUUGAGUUUUGACCUGAACACAUGUUCUCUGUCCACGUACCGUGAUGCCAAGCCCUGGCCUGGAUUGGCUGGGACUGGAGGCAUCUCACACGGCCCUUGGGUUGGCAUGGGGAACAGUUUGCAUCUGAUCAGAUGUGUCUGGAUUACAUGGGACUGCUGGUUUAAAGACUUGGUAUAUAAGCCCAUUUCAGUCCCUCCUUUGACGUGUCUCAAGACAAAUAUUCCUUGCUCAGCUCCUCCAUUUGUAUUUUCUUUUUUGGAGAGAAACAGAUUUUUUUCUUGAAAGGCCAUCAUUUCUACUAAGUGCAUUCUGGGACAGCAAAACUAAAAUUGAAUUUACCUUUUCUGAAACAGAAACCCAGCUAAUCCCACUAAAGAAAAUGUAGCUGACAGAUCUCAGUGUUCUCACUGCUGGCUACCUGCUUUGCCCUUGCAAAUAUUCAUGGGAAAGUUCUUCAUGUGGUUCAUAAUUUUCCAUCUCUACUUGAGCUGGAACUUUUAUGAAUAAUUUACCUUAAUUAUGAUGUAUCUUCCUAUCUUGGAAAAUAUUCGUUCGCAGAAAAACGUUUUGGAAACUGUACUGAAAAGCUGC
ensembl:lncRNA